CAGUGUCGCAGCUCUUUUAGAAUCUGUCUAGCAGGUUUUUCAUCAUUGCAAGAGAAAAAAAA
rnacentral:snRNA from 1 species